AUGUAGCUGGUCAAAGGCUUGUUUGUCUGGACUCUGGAAAGCAAACCACUGCAGCUUACUAGUAAGACACAAGGGUAUCCUGAAAAUAUUAGCAUUUUAUACACUGGUUUUUUUUAAGUGAAAGUCUGCUUAAUUGUAAAAUAUGGUGCUUAGUUGGUUAACAGUAUCUUUAAUAAAAGAGAUAAUACCACUCAGUAGAGAAUAUAGAAAUUACUUUUUGAUCAGUUCAAAAACAAAAUAUUUAUAUUCUGGCCUCUUCUAUUUUAUAUUUUAUUUUACGCAAUAAUUUAAUGAUCUUUAUUGGUUUUAUUCCAUCUUGAGAGAAAUACCAGAAGGUAUUACUCAAGUAAAAACUAUGAAAAGAAAAGAA
rnacentral:lncRNA from 1 species